AACGAACGCUGGCGGCAUGCCUAACACAUGCAAGUCGAACGGGAUCCUAGCUUGCUAGGUGAGAGUGGCGGACGGGUGAGUAACACGUGGGAAUCUGCCUUUUGGUUCGGGAUAACCGCGGGAAACUGCGGCUAAUACCGAAUGCCCUCGAGAGAGGAAAGAUUUAUCGCCAGAAGAGGAGCCCGCGUCCGAUUAGGUAGUUGGUGGGGUAAAGGCCUACCAAGCCGACGAUCGGUAGCUGGUCUGAGAGGAUGAUCAGCCACACUGGGACUGAGAUACGGCCCAGACUCCUACGGGAGGCAGCAGUGGGGAAUAUUGGACAAUGGGGGCAACCCUGAUCCAGCAAUGCCGCGUGAGUGAUGAAGGCCUUAGGGUUGUAAAGCUCUUUGCCAGGGAAGAUGAUGACUGUACCUGGAGAAUAA
rnacentral:rRNA from 1 species